rnacentral:tRNA from 1 species
GUCUCAUUGGCUCAGUGCAGAGCGUCUGUCUAGUAAACAGAAUGCUGCUGUUUCGAUUCCAGCAUAAGGCG